UUUUUUCCCAUUCCCACCAAUCCCUCACACACCUUGACUCUCCUGGUCAGCUUGCCCUGCUGCCAAUUCACCCACAGGCACCAGUGUGUAUGACACUCCAGGGCAGGAUACCCAACUGUCCUGGCUCGGGUUGUGGUACCAUGAACUAGUGAGACAGUCAGUGGCUAACCCUUCAGCUGCAGACCCUGAUGCCUGCUUCCCCAUCAUCUUCCAGCAAAUCGACUUUUAUUUCAAGAAAAGUUUGUUUUGGAGGAAAAUUAUAGCCCAAACUACCCAAUAUAUAUGUGUAGUCCAGAUGAUACAUUUUACAAAGAAACUUUUAAUUGAUGCUGCUGGGACUACAAAGUAACAAAUAAGCUUUGCAAAAAGCAUAAUUUAAGCUAAGAAGGGCCCUGCAGAAGACAAAUGGAUCCGUUUUGCUUUUGUCAGAAAAUGAAUAUGAAAUAUAGUGCUCACUGUAGCGAAAACAUUCUUAUGACGCAACUAUGUAAUGGGGAUGGUAGUUUCCAAUUGUAAAAGAAAACUUCCUAUUGAAAGCGCCAUGAGCUUUCUUUCUCCCUUUACAACAUGUAGCAAAAAUCAAGGAUGAACAAUGGAUGAGAAAUGCACACAUUUGUGAUAAAUAAAAUCUAUUAAAAAUGGUCUGUUUCAGGAAUUUUGGUGUAUUUUACUAAUAUGGUUACUAAUAUAAUUCGUAUGGUAAUUAUUAAUAUAGGUAAAUAGCACUACUAGAUAAAAGAAAAGAAAGAAAA